GUUUAUAUAGUUUAAUAAAAACAUUUCAUUUUCAAUGAAAAAAAAAGAAAUAAUUCUUUAUAAAUU
rnacentral:tRNA from 1 species